UGCUCAUAUGUUAAGUCCCAUUGACAAGCAUUAGUGGGAACUGCAUGCACAUAUGGAUACGUGAAUAGCCCCAAUGGGAUCUGCAUAAAGCAGUGUUUGACUCUACAGAGAUCGCUUCAACUGCCACGAUAAAAUAAUAGAGGGGGAGAAGCCUUAAAGAGUGCUGUGAACAAGGCAAACAAUUUAAAGAAAUUCAUAAAUAAUAGAGGUUAAAAAUGAAACAGCAAAAUUAAAACAGCAUUGGAAUCUAUUGUUUGAAAUAAAUACAAAAUAAUAAUUGUGUUUAAGAAAUUAAUCCUGGCCAAAAUUUAUAAAACAGCUCAUAACUCCAAGUUCUCUAAUUUUUAAACUUCUUUGUCUUCCCCUUACUCUAUAUCCUAAAUAGAAACAAUAAACACAGCAAAAAGCUCUUUCUGACAAGAGGUGAGUUAGGAAAAUCACUGAUAAGCAUUGCUCUGCUGAAGAACACGGGACAUGAAAUGUGGCAGCUCUACAACAGGUCAAUGCUAAUGAUGCUCCUGAGGUUAUGCAACACCGACAGCCACUGUAUAAAUGUCAGAGCAUUGCAGAAACUUCCUGGAAGAGGUUUCUUGCUACCUGAGAAGGCUCCACCAGCCAGUCUGAUGGACACAAAAAAAUCUCUAAAGAAUUUGUUCUCUUUCUGCAGAAAAUCUUCAGAUUUUCCCCUGAAGCCUAAUUCAAAAUCCCAUUUUGGAGAUUUUGAGGAUUUUUGAAUGACAUUUUAAUGAUUUGGAGAACUGUUCUUAUGCUCAAAUAGCUGAAACAACAAAACCCUUCCUGACAGACACACAUAAAUAGGUGCAAUGAACAAUGAAAUCAUCAAUUAACAGAGCAGACAGCAAUCACUGCUGUGAUAAGUGCCCGUAUUAAGAACCUAAAUUGAUGUGAUAUGGAAUAGAUGAUAAGCAAAUAACGUGUAUAAAUCAGGUCUAAUUGUGCUCAAGAUCACUGGUUUCUUACUCUGUUCUGAUGCUCAUAGUGGAAUUCAACCACUGAAUUGCAAGAUUUUGCAGAGUCCUGCUUGUCUAUGAAAGUCUCACUGGCUUGAGACCCAGGUCCAAACUGUUCCAGCAAUGCUGCUUUGGAACAUUCAGAGGUGAAGCAAUCCAUAUGACUGACAGUGAAAGCUCUUAUCAUACAGGAUGUCCUUUUCCAGUGGUCAUUUAGACCAACAGCCAACCUAUUAAUCACAGUAAACCAAAGCUUGUUAGGUCCCUGCUGGCCAAAGCACUUGAGAAGACAAAAGACACCACGUUCCAGCUGACACCUGCAAGUAAUUACACAUGGUGAUAGCAGUGCCUGAAAGUACAAUUUGAGAACCAAUGCUAAAAGGAAAGGUGCAUUUCUUUUUUAUAGACUAAACUAUUUUCUGAUCUCUUAAGUGCCUUAGGGUCUUAGAAAUCAAAGGCAAAUUAGGCAGGGUAAAGAAAAUCAGUUGCCAGGUGUUUAUCUGAAGAAAUUAUAGAUCUCCAGUGAUUUUCACCAGUUCUGAAAGCAAAUUCCCCUUCUAAGAUGACACUGUAUUUUAUUAUAAGGUUGUUUAAUCAGCGUAAUGGCAGAGGGCAACUGCUCCAUGGAGAACAGAAUCUGGAGGCCCACUCUCCCAGAGUGCUUUCUCUACCUACCAACAGAUUUUUCAGUCUGUCUCCCAUGUCUUUGGAUAUCAGAACACAUAUGAGGCAUGACAAAGACAGGCAUGCAUUUUUAGAACAUCAAAUAUGAUGGCUGAUCCUUUCCUAAAAACCUCCUGGAGAGAAGAGGAGAGAAGAGGAGAGAAGAGGAGAGAAGAGGAGAGAAGAUCAGAAGAUGGCUCCUCCUCUGAAGAGCACCAAACGACCACAACCAGAUUCCCACUUCUGGAAAAUAAUCUACCCCCAGGUUCGACUUCGAAGACUUCUCCAUAUUGAAAGAGGAAGAUGAAUUUACAUUCAGAGACUGAGAAAUAAAUCACCAUCAUGCCAUACCACCACAUCCUGGAUCUAUCAGAUGUUUUAGAAAAAAACAUCUGAGAUAACAUCCUCCCCAGUAACUAAUUUCAGCUCAUGUUUCAUUUGAAACUGCUGAGUUGAUUGGUGGGACAAUUUUCUGCACUGAGUCGAUCACCAGCAUCACUGCAAACCAAAGGCAGGUCCACAGCCACUGCAUCAAUCUCUGCCUAAGUCUCUCAGACUGUUGAGCUGUUCAGGCUUUGCUAUCACUGACAAUUUUAAUGUCCCUCAAACCUCUGGCUUUUAAGUUAUCAAUUAAUAAUGCUGCUCGGUGUCUUUUUUUGCUUUGAUUUGUUAUAGAGUUAUCAGUUUCUCUUCCGUGGACAGAGUGUAGUAGUUAUGGUGCAGAUACAUAGGCUGAAAUACCAUCAGUGACAUUCUUCACUGACACGUGGGCAAUGAAUGAAAUGCAUGAAUCCCAUGGAGGUUUGUACUUAAAUUUCCCUGAAGAGCAGAGCUCUUGGGAAAACCACCCAGGACCACCUGGAGGCACAUGUUCCAUGCAGCUGGUGGAGUGUGUGAGGGAAAGCUGUAACUCCAGCUAGCUACAGACAGUUGAGGGACUGCCUCAGGUAAAUUAGGAGGUGCAUACACAAAGAAGUGCAAUCUCUUCAUGUACCACGCAUGCACUGUGAGCUCUGCUGAAUGGAGUUACUUUGCAGGGCUUGACACAA